rnacentral:rRNA from 1 species
UACAGAGGUCUCGAGCGUUAGGCGGAAUCACUGGGCUUAAAGCGUGUGUAGGCGGAUCGGUAAGUACCUUGUGAAAUCCCACAGCUUAACUGUGGAACUGCUUGGUAUACUGCCAGCCUUGAGCCACUUAGGGGCUACCGGAACAAAUGGUGGAGCGGUGAAAUGCGUAGAUAUCAUUUGGAACGCCAAUGGUGAAAACAGGUAGCUGGGAGUGUGCUGACGCUGAGACACGAAAGCCAGGGGAGCAAACGGG